rnacentral:SRP_RNA from 10 species
GCGGCACGGUGGCGCAUGCCCGUAGUCCCAGCUACUCGGUAGGCUGAAGCAGGAGGAUCACUUGGGUCUGGGAGAUCUGGGCUGUAGUGCGCUAUGCUGAUCGGGUGUCGGCACUAAGUUUGGCAUUAAUAUGGUGACCUCCCGGGAGCGGAGGACCAUCAGGGUGCCUAAGGAGGGAUGAAGUGGCCCAGGUCGGAAACAGAGCAGGUCAAAACUCCCCUGCUGAUCAGAAAACUGUGCAUGGCUGCUGAGGACAGGGGUUUCCACCUCCGUCCCACCUCUCCUGCCAGGGCAGUGGCACCCUUAGC